UACAGAGGUGGCAAGCGUUGUUCGGAAUUACUGGGCGUAAAGAGCGCGCAGGCGGUCGUUCAAGUCGCGUGUGAAAGCCCCCGGCUCAACUGGGGAGGGUCACGCGAUACUGAUCGACUCGAAGGCAGGAGAGGGUAGUGGAAUUCCCGGUGUAGUGGUGAAAUGCGUAGAUAUCGGGAGGAACACCAGUGGCGAAGGCGACUACCUGGCCUGUUCUUGACGCUGAGGCGCGAAAGCUAGGGGAGCAAACGGGG
rnacentral:rRNA from 1 species